UGGCUCAGGUGGUAAAGCAUCUGCUUACAAUGCAGGAGACCCGGGUUCAAUCCCUGG
rnacentral:tRNA from 1 species